UUAAACUCUUCUCACUUUUCUCCAUCCCUCCCUCGAGCCAAAAAUAAAAUCAUAGCAUCAAUCCAUGAUUCUCCCUCACUCACUGCAACCUGAUUAUCCCUCACUCACUGUAACCAUGAUUUUCCCUAUCUGAAACCCUGUUGUCGCACUCAUUGUUGUGUUGUCAACCCAUCAUUCUUCCUGUUGUCGCAGUCUCUUCUUCCGUCACAUUAUCCGAUGAUCUCCUUCACUGUGUGUGACCUCACACUCGUUCUCCUUCAUGGGAACUCUCUUUUUCCUAGUUUCGAACCACCAUCCUCUGUCAUUGGAACCGUAGUGUAGCAUUGGACGAUCGAAGGCGGUUUGAAAUCGCGAUUUAGGAAACCCUAGGUUUAUUUCUUCGAACUGGAAGAUAUAAGCGGAAGCUGCCAUUGUCUUCUACAUCUGGUUAAGCGAUACUU